UACGAAGGGGGCAAACGUUGCUCGGAAUUAUUGGGCGUAAAGCGCACGUAGGCGGCUUAGUAAGUCGGAUGUGAAAUCCCUCGGCUUAACCAAGGAAGUGCAUCCGAAACUGCUGAGCUUGAGUACUUAAGGGGAUCGCGGAAUUCCCGGUGUAGAGGUGAAAUUCGUAGAUAUCGGGAGGAACACCAGUGGCGAAGGCGGCGAUCUGGGAAGAUACUGACGCUGAGGUGCGAAAGCGUGGGGAGCAAACAGG
rnacentral:rRNA from 1 species